GACGAACGCUGGCGGCGUGCUUAACACAUGCAAGUCGAACGGAAAGGCCCUGCUUGCAGGGUACUCGAGUGGCGAACGGGUGAGUAACACGCGGGUGAUCUGCCCUGCACUUCGGGUUAAGCCUGGGAAACUGGGUCUAAUACCGGAUAGGAGCCAUUUUUAGUGUGAUGGUUGGAAAGUUUUUUCGGUGUAGGAUGAGCUCGCGGCCUAUCAGCUUGUUGGUGGGGUAAUGGCCUACCAAGGCGGCGACGGGUAGCCGGCCUGAGAGGGUGGACGGCCACAUUGGGACUGAGAUACGGCCCAGACUCCUACGGGAGGCAGCAGUGGGGAAUAUUGCACAAUGGGCGCAAGCCUGAUGCAGCGACGCCGCGUGGGGUAUGACGGCCUUCGGGUUGUAAACUCCUUUCGCUAGGGACGAAGCUUUUUGUGACGGUACCUAGAUAAGAAGCACCGGCUAACUACGUG
rnacentral:rRNA from 1 species